rnacentral:rRNA from 1 species
UGCCAGACUCCUACGGGAGGCAGCAGUCGAGAAUCAUUCACAAUGGGGGAAACCCUGAUGGUGCGACGCCGCGUGAGGGAGGACGGUCUUCGGAUUGUAAACCUCUGUCUUUGGGGAAGAAAAUGACGGUACCCAAAGAGGAAGCUCCGGCUAACUACGUGCCAGCAGCCGCGGUAAUACGUAGGGAGCGAGCGUUGUCCGGAAUUACUGGGUGUAAAGGGAGCGUAGGCGGGCGAGAAAGUUGAAUGUUAAAUCUACCGGCUUAACUGGUAGCUGCGUUCAAAACUUCUUGUCUUGAGUGAAGUAGAGGCAGGCGGAAUUCCUAGUGUAGCGGUGAAAUGCGUAGAUAUUAGGAGGAACACCAGUGGCGAAGGCGGUCUGCUGGGCUUUAACUGACGCUGAGGCUCGAAAGCGUGGGGAGCAAACAGGAUUAGAUACCCUCGUA